AUGCUUUCCCAGUGCAGAUGUGCAGUAACCCCCCAGGAUGAUCUUCCCAAGUCAGAAUCCACCAAGAAAAGAACACUGAGGGGUCACUUAUUUACAUUGUGGAAAAACCGUAGGAACAUCUGUUCAAGGACUUUGGCUUUCAGAGAAGAAUGAAAUGGAGGAAGCACGAACGAAUACACUUUGUGUCUAAAAACCACUCCACUCAUUUUAACUUGAGAUCACUGAUUAUAAAGAAAAUAGCUGUAUUUACUCAGAGACUUCAACAAGAAAUAGAAUUAUGUAAAAUAAUUGAGCCUUAAUGAAAAAAUAUUUGUAUUAAACGGUGCACUCUCUCCACGUCCAACACACUCUUUAUAAAUCACUCCUCAGAAGCACAGACUGGGUGUCCUAUCUUUCUCCCAUUUCCUUAGUAAGACAGCAUAUGAACUCCCUGAGAAUGAAUACCAAGAGACAGCUGUACAGCCUCAGUUUAACUGUAAGUCCAGUAAUUACAGUAAGACCUUGGAUUUUUAUAACUUCUAGUCUCCUGGGGAUCCAAAGCCCAUUCAGGUAUAUUACCUCGUUGACUCGUUAAGGAGUGCCCACGUCGGUAACACCACCCACUGUAGUUGGAAAAGCGGCUUCCAUAUAAGCUUAAGAAACCUGCAGAGCCUCAGAAAUAAGGCUGGGCUCCACUUAACUCACUUUUUCUUCUAGAACAAUCUAGAAUCAGAAGAUUUUGGGGGGGAGGGGUCUGUGGAUGCGACCUACUGACCUUACACAAGGGGUCACCUGCAUUUUUAUGUCUUAAAGUUGGGGAAGGAGGUGGCCUGUGACUGCAGGUAGUGGCUUCACACCGGAGGUCACUGGCAGGCUUCUUAGAACUGUUCAAUUCCAUUCUACUCCUUGGAGCACCCACCCCUGGGAAAUCUGAGUUUGUUUUUCUCAACAACUUUCAGCAGAUUUGAAUAUUAAUUCUAAAUUCUGAGCUAUUUAUACGCUCACGAUGGUCAUCAGCCACGUAAUUCCUGUGCAGGAGGCCACUCUCCGGCUGCCAAAAGCUCUGUGAA
rnacentral:lncRNA from 1 species